rnacentral:rRNA from 1 species
CGUGCCUAAUACAUGCAAGUCGAACGCAUUGUGGUUGAAAUGAUAUGAAGAACUUGUUCAGAUUUGAUUUUCAACAUUGCAAUGAGUGGCGAACGGGUGAGUAACACGUGGGAAACCUACCUCUUAGCAGGGGAUAACAUUUGGAAACAAAUGCUAAUACCGUAUAAUAAUUAAAACCGCAUGGUUUUAGUUUAAAAGAUGGUCUUGCUAUCACUAAGAGAUGGUCCCGCGGUGUAUUAGUUAGUUGGUGAGGUAAUGGCUCACCAAGACAAUGAUACAUAGCCGAGUUGAGAGACUGACCGGCCACAAUGGGACUGAGACACGGCCCAUACUCCUACGGGAGGCAGCAGUAGGGAAUCUUCCACAAUGGACGAAAGUCUGAUGGAGCAACGCCGCGUGUGUGAUGAAGGGUUUCGGCUCGUAAAACACUGUUGUAAGAGAAGAAUGACAUUGAGAGUAACUGUUCAAUGUGUGACGGUAUCUUACCAGAAAGGAACGGCUAAAUACGUG